GCCAGCAGCCGCGGUAACACGUAGGAUGCGAGCGUUAUCCGGAUUUACUGGGCGUAAAGCGCGUGUAGGCGGUUGAGAAAGUUGGAUGUGAAAGCUCCCGGCUUAACUGGGAGAGGUCGUUCAAAACUUCUUGACUUGAGUUUGGUAGAGGAAAAUGGAAUUCCGGGUGUAGUGGUGAAAUGCGUAGAUAUCCGGAGGAACACCAGUGGCGAAAGCGAUUUUCUGGACCAAUACUGACGCUCAGACGCGAAAGCUAGGGUAGCAAACGGGAUUAGAGACCCCGGUAGUCCUAGCUGUAAACGAUGUAGACUUGGCGUUGGAGGAGUAAAAUCUUUCAGUGCCGAAGCAAACGCGAUAAGUCUACCGCCUGGGGACUACGGCCCGCAGGGUAAAAACUCAAGGAAUUGACGGGGCCC
rnacentral:rRNA from 1 species